rnacentral:rRNA from 1 species
AUGGCCUCCAAACAGACGCUGCAUAUGAAUCAAGGACAAGGGGAAACAAGCUAUGCUCGCAACUCCAGUGCUCAGAGUGUUGAACAGAAUAAGAUGAAACCCCUGAUAGAAGCAGCCAUCCUUGACUUAUGCAGCACCACCACCACCACCAUGUUGCCAACGGAGAUGGUGAUUGCCGAUCUGGGUUGCUCCUCUGGCCCAAACGCUCUAACAUUGGUGUCAAUAGCUGUCCAGGCCAUACACAGUCACUGCCUUCAGUUCAUACAGACACCACCCGAAGUGUGUGUGCUCCUCAACGACCUUCCUCACAAUGACUUCAACACGGUGGCGCAGAGCCUGGUCACGCUCCAUCAGGGAAAUGACCCUAUUGUCGUGACCGGUGUCGCACCAGGGUCGUUUUACGAGAGGCUAUUCACUAGUGGCUCCUUGCAUCUUGUCUGCUCGUCCAACAACCUGCAUUGGCUCUCAAAGGCUCCUGAAGUGCUUACUAGUAACAAGAUCUCGGCGUAUGACAUUGAUGGGCAUGCUAGGCUUCAAAAGCUCCCUAUCGUCUUUGAGGCUUAUGGACAACAGUUCAGGAAAGAUUUCACACUUUUCCUCAAGCUAAGAGCCAAAGAAUUGUUCCAGGAGGUCGGAUGGUUAUUUCUCUUCCAGGGAGGCGUUCCGAUGAACUUGCUUCUGAAUUCUGUCACCUCCGGGAAACAUUGGCUCAGAUUUUACGUGUCAUGA